GAUCUUAUCAAAUCACGCUAGCUUGUAAUGAAUUCCGCCAUGCUAGUGAGCGAAAUGACAUGGCUGGGCGUCAAACGGCGUUGAUGAAGAUCGUUCAAGAGUUCAACCGCGUAAAAGAGGUUUUCAAGAAAAUCAUAGAGCUAGAGGAGAAGAUCCGCAAAUUGUCUUCAGCUCCUCGACAAGAUGAAACAUCAAUGUACUUGGUUUCCUCCUCCGGAAACAACUAAUGGAACAUUUUAGUCCGUCUUCUUGAAAACUACUCCCUCC